UACAACAUAGAGUUGAUCCAUUAGAUCCCAUUAGAACUUCACAAUUAAGAGUUCUUAAGAUAGAUUAGUAUCGGGAUGGGUGACCACUCGGGAAGUCCUAAUGUUUUAC
rfam:Picea glauca, whole genome shotgun sequence.